GUGCCAGCAGCCGCGGUAAUACGUAGGUGGCAAGCGUUGUCCGGAUUUACUGGGCGUAAAGGAUGUGUAGGCGGAUAUUUAAGUGAGAUGUGAAAUCCCCGGGCUUAACUUGGGGGCUGCAUUUCAAACUGGAUGUCUAGAGUGCAGGAGAGGAAAGCAGAAUUCCUAGUGUAGCGGUGUAAUGCGUACAGAUUAAGAAGAAGACCAGUGGCGGAGGCGGCUUUCUGGACUG
rnacentral:rRNA from 1 species